AGUGAAGCUUUGGCUGGGGCCAGCAGAGCCACAGCUUAAGUGGCCUGGAGUGCUUUCUGCUCUGGUUUGUAAUCCUGGUUCCCUCCUUGUCAUGGAGGAGGGGUGGUAUUCUUUAUUUUUUCUCAGUCCUGGGGCAGAAAAGAACAUUCUUUGCAUCGUCCAUCUGCAGCUGUUUACAGCUAAGGGAGAUGCUGUACCAUCUACUAUGUUCCGAGGUGCAGUAAGAGACCUAGUGGCUUUCGUGUCGUUUCCAACACUUGGUGGACACCCUUGCACAUCUAGGCAGAUGAGCUGAGUUCUUGACACAUGUCAGGUACCUGGCAACACCUGUAACUCCAGUUCCCAGAGUCUGACCCUUCUCCUGGCCUCCCAGGCACCUGUACUAACAUGCCCAUACCCACACGCAGACACGACUAAGUAAUUCUGUUUGGAGCUAACUUUUGAGGCAUCAAAGAUGUUUUGACUCAAGUUUGAACCCAGGAUCUUCUCAGACGUCCUUUGGACAAGUAUCCUCCAAUGAUUCAGAAACAGAAAUGUUAGCAAAAGACCUAGGAAAGCUGACCUUCAACUAUAGUGCCAUGAAGCUUUCUUCUCCUUGACCAGAAAAGGACAUCAUC
rnacentral:lncRNA from 1 species